GACGAACGCUGGCGGCGUGCUUAACACAUGCAAGUCGAACGGAAAGGCCCUGCUUGCAGGGUACUCGAGUGGCGAACGGGUGAGUAACACGUGGGUGAUCUGCCCUGCACUUCGGGAUAAGCCUGGGAAACUGGGUCUAAUACCGGAUAGGAGCCAUUUUUAGUGUGAUGGUUGGAAAGUUUUUUCGGUGUAGGAUGAGCUCGCGGCCUAUCAGCUUGUUGGUGGGGUAAUGGCCUACCAAGGCGGCGACGGGUAGCCGGCCUGAGAGGGUGGACGGCCACAUUGGGACUGAGAUACGGCCCAGACUCCUACGGGAGGCAGCAGUGGGGAAUAUUGCACAAUGGGCGCAAGCCUGAUGCAGCGACGCCGCGUGGGGGAUGGCGGCCUUCGGGUUGUAAACUCCUUUCGCUAGGGACGAAGCUUUUUGUGACGGUACCUAGAUAAGAAGCACCGGCUAACUACGUG
rnacentral:rRNA from 1 species